CAUUUCAAUAGUUUAUCCAAAA
rnacentral:tRNA from 1 species